UAAAAAGUAUUCUAACACUUCUAUGUUGCAUCUCCCAUUAACUUUAUCGAUACAAAUUUGAAAGAAUUCCUCAUCAAUUAUAUGAUGUUCAUACAUGGGUGAUGAACUUAUAUCUUGUGAAAGUGUUGGUAUAAAAAGUAGCUUGGUGGCAACCAAAAGUGCUAGAAAAGUGAUAGAACAAUCUAAUUUUGCCAUAUUGAGACUAAGAAAAAGUUUUUAGAAUAGCUUGUAUACAAUAGUUCUUUAGUUUCGGAGAUUAAU
rnacentral:lncRNA from 1 species